rnacentral:SRP_RNA from 1 species
GCAGCCGCUGCCUUCUGGCUGGGCCGUGGAGGGCACAGUGAUAACGUCAACGCCGAGCCCCUGGCAGGAUUCAGUGACGAUCCCGACAUCGAUUUUGGGGUCGCGACCGUGAG